rnacentral:lncRNA from 1 species
CGUUUAAGAACCUCUUUUAUAAUCUGGACACUUGUUUUAGAAGGUAAUGAAGACAUACACUUAAAAAGAUAACAGUAUGGAAAUAGGUUUUUAUGCCCAUUUUCUGUUUUCAUUUGUUUAUAAAUUAGGAGUAGGGCAAUAGAGUUACAUCUUUCUUCCUGUUUUAUUCAUUGUCUAGAUGUCAUCACCCAGAUUUUACCUCUGAUCGCUGAGGAUUCAGUGUGAACCAUCACAGCACAGGCAGGCUGCCCAUCUCAGUUGCAGACUCAAGCCUGAUUGUACUGCACUCCAACCAAAAGACCCCCUCAGGCAAGAAACACAUUUAUGGAAAGCUAUUUAUAAGGUUUAAAUUAUCCAUAUUAACAUUCUUAAGA